rnacentral:rRNA from 1 species
GAUGAACGCUGGCGGCGUGCCUAAUACAUGCAAGUCGAGCGAACGGACGAGAAGCUUGCUUCUCUGAUGUUAGCGGCGGACGGGUGAGUAACACGUGGAUAACCUACCUAUAAGACUGGGAUAACUUCGGGAAACCGGAGCUAAUACCGGAUAAUAUUUUGAACCGCAUGGUUCAAAAGUGAAAGACGGUCUUGCUGUCACUUAUAGAUGGAUCCGCGCUGCAUUAGCUAGUUGGUAAGGUAACGGCUUACCAAGGCAACGAUGCAUAGCCGACGUGAGAGGGGGGUCGCCGACCCUGGAAGGUGGACGGGCACAAGAGGCCUACGAGACGGCGCAGUAGGGUACCGGCCGCAAUGGUCGAAAGUCUUACGCAGCAAGGGCGCGUGAGAGGUAGAGGUCCUGCGAGCGGGAUACUCUCUUACGAGGUAUAAACCUAUGUGUAAGUAACUGAGCACAUCUUGACGGUACCUAAUCAGAAAGCCCCGGCUAACUACGUG